rnacentral:rRNA from 1 species
GACGAACCGUGCGAGCGUUGUUCGGAAUCACUGGGCUUAAAGGGCGCGUAGGCGGGCGGUCAAGUCAGGGGUGAAAGCCCCCAGCUCAACUGGGGAAGUGCCUCUGAUACUGACCAUCUCGAGGGAGGUAGGGGCGUGCGGAACUUCCGGUGGAGCGGUGAAAUGCGUAGAUAUCGGAAGGAACGUCGGUGGCGAAAGCGGCGCGCUGGACCUCUUCUGACGCUGAGGCGCGAAAGCCAGGGGAGCAAACGGG